UAAAGGAAGUUAAAUGCAGUAG
rnacentral:miRNA from 1 species